rnacentral:rRNA from 1 species
UACAGAGGGUGCGAGCGUUAAUCGGAGUUACUGGGCGUAAAGGGUGCGUAGGCGGUGAUACAAGUGAGGUGUGAAAUCCCUGGGCUCAACCUAGGAAUUGCACUUCAAACUGUAUUGCUAGAGUGCAGUAGAGGGUGGUGGAAUUUCCGGUGUAGCGGUGAAAUGCGUAGAGAUCGGAAGGAACAUCAGUGGCGAAGGCGGCCACCUGGACUGUAACUGACGCUGAGGCACGAGAGCGUGGGGAGCAAACAGG